GUCGUCAGCUCGUGUCGUGAGAUGUUGGGUUAAGUCCCGCAACGAGCGCAACCCUCGCCCUUAGUUGCCAUCAUUCAGUUGGGCACUCUAAGGGGACUGCCGGUGAUAAGCCGAGAGGAAGGUGGGGAUGACGUCAAGUCCUCAUGGCCCUUACGGGCUGGGCUACACACGUGCUACAAUGGUGGUGACAGUGGGCAGCGAGACCGCGAGGUCGAGCUAAUCUCCAAAAGCCAUCUCAGUUCGGAUUGCACUCUGCAACUCGAGUGCAUGAAGUUGGAAUCGCUAGUAAUCGCGGAUCAGCAUGCCGCGGUGAAUACGUUCCCGGGCCUUGUACACACCGCCCGUCACACCAUGGGAGUUGGUUUUACCCGAAGGCGCUGUGCUAACCGCAAGGAGGCAGGCGACCACGGUAGGGUCAGCGACUGGGGUGAAGUCGUAACAAGGUAGCCGUAGGGGAACCUGCGGCUGGAUCACC
rnacentral:rRNA from 1 species